rnacentral:rRNA from 1 species
UACGGAGGGAGCUAGCGUUGUUCGGAAUUACUGGGCGUAAAGCGCACGUAGGCGGCUUUGUAAGUUAGAGGUGAAAGCCUGGGGCUCAACUCCAGAAUUGCCUUUAAGACUGCAUCGCUUGAACGUCGGAGAGGUGAGUGGAAUUCCGAGUGUAGAGGUGAAAUUCGUAGAUAUUCGGAAGAACACCAGUGGCGAAGGCGGCUCACUGGACUGGUAUUGACGCUGAGGUGCGAAAGCGUGGGUAGCAAACAGG